rnacentral:rRNA from 1 species
UUUGACCUCAAAUCACGGAGGACUACCCGCUGAACUU